GAUGAAGAAGCAGCGAAAUGCGAUAAGUAAUGUGAAUUGCAGAAUUCAGUGAAUCAUCGAAUCUUUGAACGCACCUUGCGCUCUUUGGUAUUCCGAAGAGCAUGCCUGUUUGAGUGUCAUGAAAAUAUCAACCUUGACUUGGGUUUUGUGCUCUAGUCUCGGCUUGGAAUUGGGUGCUUGCCGCUUUUACGAGCGGCUCACCUUAAAUGUAUUAGCUGGAUCUGUCUUUGAGACUUGGUUUGACUUGGCGUAAUAAGUAUUUCGCUAAGGACAUUCUUCGGAGUGGCCUCGUUUCUAGGACGCUUGUCCGCUUUCCAAUACAAGUUCCACCUCGUGGACAUGACUUUUUAUUAUCUGGCCUCAAAUCAGGUAGGACUACCCGCUGAACUUAAGCAUAUCAAUAAGCGGAGGA
rnacentral:misc_RNA from 1 species